rnacentral:rRNA from 1 species
AGCGAACGCUGGCGGCAGGCUUAACACAUGCAAGUCGAGCGGGCACUUUCGGGUGUCAGCGGCGGACGGGUGCGUAACGCGUGGGAACGUGCACUCUGGUUCGGAAUAACUCAGGGAAACUUGAGCUAAUACCGGAUACGCCCUUUUGGGGAAAGGCUUGCUGCCGGAGGAUCGGCCAGCGUCUGAUUAGCUAGUUGGUGAGGGAACGGCUCACCAAGGCGACGAUCCGUAGCUGGUCUGUGAGGAUGAGCAGCCACACUGGGACUGAGACACGGCCCAGACUCCUACGCGAGGCAGCAGUGGGGAAUAUUGGACAAUGGGCGCAAGCCUGAUCCAGCCAUGCCGGGUGAGUGAUGAAGGCCUUAGGGUUGUAAAGCUUUUUUAUCCGGGACGAUAAUGACGGUACCGGAGGAAUAAGCCCCGGCUAACUUCGUG